GAUGAACGCUGGCGGCGUGCCUAAUACAUGCAAGUCGAGCGAACAGACGAGGAGCUUGCUCCCCUGACGUUAGCGGCGGACGGGUGAGUAACACGUGGAUAACCUACCUAUAAGACUGGGAUAACUUCGGGAAACCGGAGCUAAUACCGGAUAAUAUAUUGAACCGCAUGGUUCAAUAGUGAAAGACGGUUUUGCUGUCACUUAUAGAUGGAUCCGCGCCGCAUUAGCUAGUUGGUAAGGUAACGGCUUACCAAGGCAACGAUGCGUAGCCGACCUGAGAGGGUGAUCGGCCACACUGGAACUGAGACACGGUCCAGACUCCUACGGGAGGCAGCAGUAGGGAAUCUUCCGCAAUGGGCGAAAGCCUGACGGAGCAACGCCGCGAGAGUGAUGAAGGUCUUCGGAUCGUAAAACUCUGUUAUUAGGGAAGAACAAAUGUGUAAGUAACUAUGCACGUCUUGACGGUACCUAAUCAGAAAGCCACGGCUAACUACGUG
rnacentral:rRNA from 1 species